GUACACUCCUGCGGGAGGCAGCAGUGGGGAAUUUUGGACAAUGGGCGAAAGCCUGAUCCAGCCAUGCCGCGUGCAGGAUGAAGGCCUUCGGGUUGUAAACUGCUUUUGUACGGAACGAAACGGCCUUUUCUAAUAAAGAGGGCUAAUGACGGUACCGUAAGAAUAAGCACCGGCUAACUACGUGCCAGCAGCCGCGGUAAUACGUAGGGUGCAAGCGUUAAUCGGAAUUACUGGGCGUAAAGCGUGCGCAGGCGGUUAUGUAAGACAGUUGUGAAAUCCCCGGGCUCAACCUGGGAACUGCAUCUGUGACUGCAUAGCUAGAGUACGGUAGAGGGGGAUGGAAUUCCGCGUGUAGCAGUGAAAUGCGUAGAUAUGCGGAGGAACACCGAUGGCGAAGGCAAUCCCCUGGACCUGUACUGACGCUCAUGCACGAAAGCGUGGGGAGCAAACAGGAUUAGAAACCCCGGUAGUCCCAUG
rnacentral:rRNA from 1 species